CGGAGUGUAAACCCCUGUCAGGAGGGAAGAAGGUCCCGAAGAGGAAAUGCUUUGGGGAUGACGGUACCUCCAGAGGAAGCACCGGCUAACUCCGUGCCAGCAGCCGCGGUAAUACGGAGGGUGCGAGCGUUGUUCGGAAUUAUUGGGCGUAAAGCGCACGUAGGCGGUUCGGUAAGUCUCACUGUGAAAGCCCGGGGCUCAACCCCGGGAGGCCAGGGGAUACUGUCGGACUGGAGACAGGCAGAGGCUGGUAGAAUUUCGGGUGUAGCGGUGGAAUGCGUAGAGAUCCGAAGGAAUACCGGAGGCGAAGGCGGCCAGCUGGGCCUGAUCUGACGCUGAGGUGCGAAAGCGUGGGGAGCGAACAGGAUUAGAUACCCUGGUAGUCCACGCCGUAAACGAUGGGCACUAGAUGCCGGUGGGAACGACCCCUUCGGUGUCGCAGCUAACGCAUUAAGUGCCCCGCCUGGGGAGUACGGCCGCAAGGCUG
rnacentral:rRNA from 1 species